AGCUUCCCUGUUCUUUUGGCUGUCACGAGGUUACCAGAUCUGCUCCUCUCUGCUGUGAUGCUCUGCCUCCUCAGCAAGGAGCCAGCUGAUCAAAGACUGAACCUUUUGAAACUCUCUGAUGACAGGAUGCCAACAUAUGGAAAAGUCAACAUGGCAAGGAACUAUAGGAAAACUCUAGUUUCUGAGGACAGAUUCCAGCUGAUAGCCAGAAAGUAGCUGAGGACCUCAGUCUAACAAUCCUCAAAGAACUAUAUCCUGCCAACGACCAUAUGAGCCUAGAAGUCGGUCCUUCCCCAGUCAAGCCUCAGAUGACUCCCAGUCUUGGCCCACACCUUGAUUGGAGUCUUGUAAGAGCUCUUAAGUAGAAGAUCCAGGGCCCCUGUCCCUGGAACUUUGAAAUAAUAAAUACAUGUUUUCAAGCAA